rnacentral:lncRNA from 1 species
AGAAAAUAAAAGAAAGGGGUGUUCACUUUCUGCUGGGUGGCUUGGCAAUAGAGCUCAGAGCUGUGGUCUCUUAAGAUACAUUUACAAACAUAUGCUGGUGCAUCUAAGCAGAAGAGUUCUGAUUUCACUUUGGGUUCUCAGUGACACAUUCUAAGGAGAAACAGCAAUGCAGAGAGAAACAGGCAGAGGAACACAGCAGAGGCUACACAGGCCUCGGGUUUGUGAAAAAGACGAUUCACUGCUGCUCCGUUGUGGACACUCAUCUAUGUGAGGGCCAGGGACUUGCUGCGUGGCCAGGAAGUCUGCCGCCUCCAACCCAAGGCAAAGUACGUGGACAGUGGGCCAUGACAAUGGACAGAUGGACGGGACACAGGAGGUGGACGGAUGGACGUGUGCAGACCAUCCUGUCGUUCCCGUUCCUAACCUCCUAGGCCCCAGUAAUUCCUACUGCCUGCCCUGCUGGAGAUAUUGACAGGACUCUGAAGACAAGGUCUGCGACACUCAGGAGGC